AUAGAUAAAAACAAAAAAACAACAACAGGAUCUUGUGGUUUCCUUUCACAGUUAAAAAGCUAAAAAUGAAACAAAUUUUCUUUAAAAAUAUUUAACCGAGGUAUUCAGUGCACUUCGAUAAAUCUCAGAGGCAAGAUUCAUUUAAAAGAUGAAUUUUUUCAACUUGGAAUUAGUAGCAAUUCUUAUUCUUUCGAUGUCUUUAUGGCAUGCAACUGAAGGUGGACCAGCUCCUGCUGUUACAAGAUUAGAAAUCAUAAGUCAUUCAUGCAAUGGAAGAAAUCCUGUCUUUUAUUAUGUCCAGAUGGGAUAUGCAACGUCUACCAUAGUAACUUGGGAUGGCUCUAAUGCCUCAAGGGAUUGUACUGAAGUUGAAAGGUACACCGGUUGGGGUAGGAUCAUUACUGGAUGGAGAUAUAGAUGCGAAAAAAAGAAUAUCUGUACUGCUACCCUUAAACUUCGCAAUGGAAAUUAUUGGGAUCAACAGUUUCAAAACUGUUGCAAUUAACACUAAAUUCCAAUAAAAGUUUCAACUAGCUUUCCUGAUAAAACAAAUUUAGGAUGAAGAAUUUCAACAUAGUUUAUAAUAAUAGAUCAACACUUAAUUCAAUGUAAUUUUCAAUUACAAACAAAUGUACAGUUUUAAGGAUGAUAAACUGUUGCAGUUGUCAUAUGUAUAUAUAUAUAUUAUAAAUGCAAUACUUCUUUGCUUGUUAGAGCAAUAUCGUUUUUGUCUUGUUUUUGUUAAAGUACGUUCUUGAUUUUUUUUAUUACAUACCUUAUAAUAUCUUCAUUAGCUGGAUAUAAUAAAAAGUAUGUACAUUACAA